rnacentral:snoRNA from 1 species
UCGCAAUGAUGAUUAUUAAAUUUCCAUUCGCAGUCUCAACCAGAUGCCUUCGGGCAGAUGUUGGGGAAUUAGCCUUCCUUGGAUGUCUGAGCGA